GGCAGCCAGAACUCAGUAGCCUAGGCUAGAACUGACUAUGCCUGUAACCAGGAGCAGAGUACCUUUAGAGAAGCAGCAUUUCCACCACCAGCAUGCCUAAAUAUUUCCUGGAAGCAAACAUUUUUUCAGCAUCUGCAUGCCAAAUAUUGUGGUAGAUAUUGGGCCCUCUCCUGGCAGGGCUCCCAAUCCCAGAGGGUGAGCUAAACACGUAUCUGUGACACAGAGACCAUGCCAUCUCUGCUAGCAGGAAAGAGGAGGGCAGGAUGCAGGUUGACAAGGUUUCAAGAUUUUCCCAACUGGUUUUGAAAGGCAACCUGUGGAGUAUUUCACAAAUGAGAAAACAGAGGUUCCAAAAGUUACUGGAAUCCAUGUUCUUACCUUCUUCCUGGAUAUGAAGAGGAAGCAGUGUGGGCCACUUCAAAGGCCUGGUCUCGUCCUGUCUGCCUGGCUGGGAUUGCAGUGUUCCCUGAGCAGUCUUGGAAGUGACUUAAUGAGUUGGCAAAGGCUCUGUCAGUCCGAGUCCCUAGAUGACCAUCCUAGGGAGGACUGCUCCACCUACCUCUUGCCCAGCCCAGAACUAUGAACUGAACAGGAAAUAAACUCCCAAUGUGAUUA